CAGCCGCCCGCGCAAUACCCGAGCUGCAAGUGGUGACCACGAUUAUUGGGUUUAAAGCAUCCGUAGCCGGUUUAGUAAGUUUUUGGUUAAAUCCUCUACUAAAUAAAGGGGUGCUAGAAAUACUACUAGGCUAGAGACCAUGAUAGGUUAGGGGUACUCUUAGGGUAGGGGUGGAAUCCACUGAUCCUAAGGGGACCACCAAUGGCGAAGGCACCUAGCUAGAAUGGCUCUGACGGUGAUGGAUGAAGGCUAAGGUAGCGAUCGGGAUUAGAUACCCCGGUAGUCUUAGCUGUAAACUAUGCCCGCUAGAAGUUAGCUGGUUUGUAGUAAUCAGUUAGUUUCCAAGAGAAAUCAUUAAGCGGGCCACCUGGGGAGUACGCUCGCAAGAGUGAAACUUAAAGGAAUUGGCGGGGGAG
rnacentral:rRNA from 1 species